rnacentral:rRNA from 1 species
AACGCGAAGAACCUUACCCAGACUUGACAUACACGAGACAGUCCAAGAAAUUGGAUCUUCCUUCGGGACUCGUGAACAGGUGCUGCAUGGCUGUCGUCAGCUCGUGCCGUGAGGUGUUGGGUUAAGUCCCGCAACGAGCGCAACCCUUAUCAUUAGUUGCCAACAUUUAAGGUGGGAACUCUAAUGAGACUGCCUGGGUUAACCAGGAGGAAGGUGAGGAUGACGUCAAGUCCGCAUGGCCCUUAUGUCUGGGGCUACACACGUGCUACAAUGGUCGGUACAGAAGGCAGCGAAGCCGCGAGGUGAAGCAAAUCCGACAAAACCGACCUCAGUUCAGAUUGUAGUCUGCAACUCGACUACAUGAAGACGGAAUUGCUAGUAAUGGCGAGUCAGCAACAUCGCCGUGAAUACGUUCCCGGGCCUUGUACACACCGGCUAC